CAGCGACCAAUUGCUACCAGUGCACAACCAGUAGUUGAAGGGCCUCCGACUGAACGUAUAAAGUAUGUCAACCGUGACUGGGAAGGAAGGGGAGGAUUAGAAAAUUCAAUGCUUAUGCCAAGAGAGGAAGUCAGAUUCGAAUGGGAAGGAAACUUCUUUACCCCUUUACGUGGGCAACAACGUUACGGACUAUAGGAGGUGGGCAAAUCAAGUAGGCAACCUCGGUGGAAAACCAUCUCAGGAAUGGACUCUCAACAGGAUCAGUAGCAACUCAAGGUUAAUCUUAAAUUCCUUUAGCAAUUCAAUUUCCG
rnacentral:lncRNA from 1 species